CGCAUCUGUGCAUGCAGCAUAUCAAUAAGCGGAGGAAAAGAAACUAACAAGGAUUCCCUUAGUAACGGCGAGUGAAGCGGGAAGAGCUCAAAUUUGAAAUCUUCAAGGUUUUACCUUGACGAAUUGUAGUUUAAAGAAGUGUUUUCUGUUGAAGUUUUGGUAAAAGUUCUUUGGAAUAGGACAUCAUAGAGGGUGAGAAUCCCGUAUUUGACCAUUAUUUUCAGCUGUGUGAUACACUUUCAAAGAGUCGGAUUGUUUAGGGAAUGCAGUCCAAAAUGGGUGGUAAAUUUCAUCUAAAGCUAAAUAUUGGCGAGAGACCGAUAGCGAACAAGUACCGUGAGGGAAAGAUGAAAAGAACUUUGAAAAGAGAGUUAGACAGUACGUGAAAUUGUCAAAAGGGAAGCGUUUGACACCAGUGUUGUUUUCUCGAAAAUCAAUUAAAAAGAGUUUAGAUUUUGUUGUGUAUUGACCUUAACAGCUUGCAUUUCAAUUUUCUUGCUUUUUUUAAUGCACUUUUCGUUUAAACAAGUCAACAUCAGUUUCUUUUGUUGUAAAAAGGUCAUUGGAAGGUGGCUUUCUUUUCGGAGAAAGUGUUUAUAGCCUUUGACUCCUGCAAUCGGAGAGACUGAGGUCUGCAGCGUAGAUCCUUCGGGGUUAGAUACAUUUGUGCUAAGUUAUAGCUUUUUAUAGACAACUUGUUGACUAUGAUUAGUCUUGUAGCUUACUCGCUUAUGCUAUUUUACCUACGCUUAGGAUGUUGACGCGCGUGUGUGCGUG
rnacentral:rRNA from 1 species